GCUAUAAAGCUGUCUGCAGCCUCUGCAGUGCUGGUUCCAUCCCCGCUGGCCUCAGAGCAACCCACAUGCGAGCAGACCUCUCCUGCCUCGCCUGCUGCUCCCCUCCGCAGUGCAUUUCCUCAGUCUGCCUGUUCUGUUCCCGGCUCUGUCUCUGGGUGCCCAGUGAAAUGUAUUUGAGGUCAUUUGGUGAAAGACCCUGAGAUGGAAGCAGCCUGCUCUUGUUCAAGCCUCAGUGGAGCUGAAGACAGUACAGGAAGAGAAAUGGGGGAAAAUUCCACUGUCUCCCACUCCAUCAUGCUCCAGCGCUCUGGCAAUAAAGAAACUGGUCUAUUGGCCCACAUGUCAUCCAGAUUCACCAAAAACUAGACCUUCAGCUCCCUCCUGCUGCUCCUCACUUCCUCAUGCCUGGUGCCACUUGGAGGCUUUGGAGAAGACCAACCUUUGAUGUUUUCUUCACUUACCCCGAGUCGUGGUGCCUGUGGCCAUAGUUGUGCUCUUGCAUCACUAUAAUUAAAAUGAAAUAUUAAGUGAUAGAGAUCUAACCUUCCCCCCACCAGGUUUUCGAAGACAGGGAGAUAACCCUUCCUCCCUUGCCCUCAAUCUAAAGACAAUCACCUACCUGGGCCACUGUUUGUGUACAGUUCACAUGUUUUCUCUGUCUGCAUGGAUUUUUGCUGGAUAGUCCAAUUUCCUUCCACAUCCCAGAGAUACGCAUGCAAGUUAGGUGAAGUGGCAUAUCUAAAUUGUCUAAGUGUAAAUGAGUAUGUAUGUGUGUUUGAGGACAGGGGUAAUGGAGUGUGCCCUGUGAUGGAAGGGUGUUUUGUCCAGGGUUUUACCAGGAUAGAUGUUGGGCACCAAAGACCCAAAACUGGAAUAAGAGGGCCGCAAAAUGAAUGGAUGAAUGUAUACAAAUGACUGUUUAUUAUUUGAAGUGUUUUGGUUCUUUAUUUAGAAGCUUGGUGAUGUUUUUUGUGACCAGAAAUAUGCUAUAGGAGCUUAACUCUUGUUUAAAUCAAUUAGCCUGUGAUAAAAUCUGUUUCAUUAUAGGUAGUUUCACUUAGAGUUGCAGUUUCCAAGAACCUAUUGAUGACCUUAAGUGAGGACUUACUGCAUAUGACUGUUGAAUUGGAUUAUGGCUUGCUGAAAGCUGACACUUAAGUAAUGCAAAGUUUAUCUAAGUGACUUGGGAAGUAAGGUAGAUAUGCAAUAACAGAGAUGGAAGCUUAGGUUUGAGAAAGUGCUUGUUAUCCUUGAGAAAUCUUUUUUUUACUGCUUUGGAGAAAUUUUACCAUCCAAUUUUAAAAAGGACAAAGCAAACUUUUGUUGAAAUGCUUACCAGCUGAAUACAAUUUCAUUGGUCAGAUCCCACCAUGCAUUCUGUCCUGUGCCCACUCCUUCCCAAAUGAAAUUUCCAACAGGAACAGAUAAAUCAAUUUUGGCCUUUUAAGAAUGGAUUUUGCCAGUAUUUUUGAUUGUUUUUGUGCUCUUUGUAUGAUUUUACUCAAUUGAUGUAAUUUUAACUUUAUAUAUGUGAAAAUAAUUUUCUUAAUUUAACCUCUAUUGAGGCAACAUUGAUUUACAGUACUGUGUAUGAUUCAGAGGUAUAGGAUGAUGCCCUUCAUGUGUAUGUUACCACACCACACCCUCCAUCAUAGUUCACUGUGCCCCCUCCCUAUUAGGCUCUCUUUCAUCCUCAGUUCUACAGUUAGGGUUGUAAGAUUUUUAUUGGCUUUGUUGUAUUUGACCCUUUGAUUUGUUCCUGUAUAUUCCACAUAAAAGUGAUACUGUCUAGUAUUUGUUUUUUUCCUGACUUAUUUCACUUAUCAUUAUCCCCCCCAGCUCCAUCCAUGCUACUGCAAAUGGUAAUAGUUCAUCUUUUUAUAUAGGUGA